GUCACCCUCCAGAUGUGGUUAGGCUCCAACUCCUGGGAACUCCUACAAGUAUGGCCAGUGGUCAGGGAUGGCGGGAACUGUAAUCCUGCUUUGAAGGUCACUGGUUCCCCAAUUCUGUUUUAUUCUCAUAAGAACAUAAGAGGAGGCUACUGGAGCAGGCCAGUGGCCCAUCUUGUCCAGCAUCUUGUUCACAUAGUCGACAACCAGAUGCCCAAGGGAAGCCUGCAAGCAGGAUCUGAGCGCAAAAGCAUUCUCCCCUCCUGCAGUUUUCAAGCCAACCCUCAGUAUAUCUUCUGAUGCUCCAAGUGGUACCCUCAAGAGCUAUGAUCUCCAUCCCUGAAGAUAGAAUGCCUUUUAGCAAAAUACUUAUCCAAGAGAGCAAGUUUCAAGGUGGAGUACAGUCUCAACAAGACAAGGAGCCAUCUCCUGGGUGUGCCAUCUCUUGUGUUCAACCAGAAAUCCACAGACACAUCAUGGACCACCUGAAUGAAGCUUGUGGACCACUGGUGGCUGGCGGAUCAUAGUUUGAGAACCCCUUCCUUAUAUGGGCUUUAAGGCUUUUGACCAUGGGAACUCCUGAUCUUCUUAUCUUGGAUUUUUCUCCAUGCAAGCAACUGCUGCACUGGCACCUUGUUGCACGAAUGCAACUUUGGGGGUUCUUAUGUUCUGAAGAUUAUUAUAUUCUCUUGGGAUAUGUUGUAUUGCUGUUGCUAGCUUUGCUACCUGAUUUAAACUUCCAAAUCUUUACAAAAUUGUAAUUGUGUUUGCAUUAUUCACUUAUAAAUUAGCCCCAUAGAAUCCAAGAGAUUGGCAUAUGUGCACAAAGCUUACGCAGAGGUUAGACAAUGUCUGCUCUUUAUUGAGCAUUCAUUCUGAAUUGUUUGUGGGCAGAUUAUAUAACAACGAGCAUUCAUCCUGACUUGCUUGUGUGGAGGUGUACCCAUCUUCCCCUCAAUCAGUCAUUUAUCCCACAAUUUUUAGUGCGCUUCCCUUUCUCCUAACUGAAAAAUGUCAACUUAAAAUAAUGGAUUUGUUGCACCAGAAUGCUUUGAUCCACUUUAAUUGUGCAAAUUGUAAUUUCCAGUAUGCAACUGAAUCCCUCCUACAAAAUGCUGAAAGUCUAUGGAGGCAACCCCCAAAUUUUGUUAUAAUUCCCUGAUACAACAAGGUGGCUGGUGUAGCAUUAUUCCUUGUAGAGGCUGACCAAUAAGGGCAAAUGGGGCACUGCCCCACCAACCUCAGUCUGCUCCCACCUGCCUACCUUCUUGCUUACAACCAGUCAAGGAGUGGUUCUACCUGUCAUUGGCUCUGCCUCUGCCUACUGUUGGUCUCCCUCCCUUCCGCCUGCAGAGUCAACUUAUUCUAGUUUUGUCCCCAUCCUCCUGCCUGCAGAGUUCUACAAGGGCAACACUGGAGGAGGAAGCUGAUAAGCAGUGUCAUCCCCUCAACUGGUUCUAACUCAGAAGGCAGGUGCUAGCUGGCAGAUAAGGGCAGACUGAAGUUGGUGGGGCAGUGCCCCACUAGCCCCAAUGGACCAGCCUCCACUGAAAUGGAUACCCCUAUGCUGCCUCAGAUUAUAAUGGUAAGUGCGUGGAAUGUUCUCCCUAGCAAGGCCUUUGUUGACAUCUUUUUGGUGCCAGUUAAAAACUUAUCUUUCCCCCCCUCCCCAGGCAAUUGAUAGAUUGAGAUGACAUUGUUUUGUGAUUGAUGGGCCGACAAAGCUUCCUGUGGCUGUUAUGGGAAUCAUUUGUUCUGCUUUUAUGGUAUUACAUAUUUAUAUUUAAGUUUUUAAUAUGUUGUCAGUUGCUUGGAGAACUUUGGGUAAGAAGCAACUAACAAGUUUUAUUUAUUUAUUUAUUUAUUUAUUUAUUUAUUACAUUUAUACCCUGCCUUUCUUUUCAUGAUAGAAACCCAAGGUGGCAUACAUCUGGUUCCCAAGCGGUCUCCCAUCCAGGCACUGACCAGACCUGACCCUGCUUAGCUUCAGCAGGGAGCGGGCCUUAUGUGCCGUCAGACUAUAGCCUGGGAUUAUUAAUAUUAAACAAUAUUAUUGUUUAAUAAAUAAUAAUAAUAAACAAUAAGUUUCCCCUUCCCGUGCCCUGAACUAAAAAUCAUAGAUUUCACUCUUCCCCACCCUAAAAAUGAUACCUUCAAUUGAUUACCCCCUUUCUACUACCUCCAUAAAAAGUGUUGGGCAAAUACUUUGGUCCAGAGCAACUUCUUCCACCCUUUCUUUGUGACCAUUUCUUUAUAUUGUAUUGAGAUAUAAUUGUGUUAAUUGCCUAGCACAGAAAGGCAAGGUACAAGUUUGAUACACUAAAUAAAUCGAAGAAAUCUGAUUGGCUUUUCCUGGCAUAGAAAUAAAGUAGCAAGGAGAGUUGUGUGUGUUUAAACCUGUAGUUUACAAAUGUUCUUUUACUUCCUCCCCAGGAUAAUUCAAUUUUCAGGAAAAGUGAAAGUGGGGCAGGGGGCUUGUUUUCAGAAAAGCAAGCCAAGAUAACACGCCGGAGAGCCUCUGGUACUCAUCCAUAGUCAUUUUUUCCUUCACACCCACUUCCUGCUGGUUCCAAUUAUGUAGGUUAUGUUCCUGCCAGUUUAGAUGUGAUGACAGCUUUAAUAAUUGAUAUUAACAUUCUUAAUGUGCUCGCUUUCUGCAGUGUGUGCACAUUUGUGGGAGCGUGUGUCUCCUCUUUUGUGGUUCAGACUGCAUUUAAGUAAAAUAAUCUAAAUAAUCAAAUAAAAAUGGUGCAAUGAAGCCCUCUUUGGAAACAUAAUGGACAACUUGAUGUUUAAAGUUAAACUCUAGAAGGUCAGUUGUUGUAGCGGCUAGAGUUUGAGAUGAUUUAAGUACUUAACUGCCUGUUGGAUCAGGCCAAUGGCUCAUCUAGUCCACUGUCCUGUUCCCAUAAUGGCCAACCAGAUUCCCCAAUGGAAAACUCUCAAGCAGGACCUGAGCACAAGAGCACUCUCCCCUCCUGCAGUUUCCAGCAACUGGUAUCCAGAAGCAGACUGCCUCCGAAUGUGGAGGCAGAGCAUGGUCAUUGUGUAAAUGCAUACAAAUCCUUUCCCUUGUUCAGAGCCAUAUCCACUAAAUUUGGAACUGAGUUCUCCACUUCUUAUAGAAGAGCAGUUCAACCAGAGACUUUCUGCCUGCCAAAAGUGAUGCCCUUAAAGCAGGUUGAGGAAUCUUUGGCCUCCACAUGUUGCUGAACUACAAUUCCCAUCUUCCUGGCCAUUGGCCAUGUUUGCUGGGGCUGAUGGAAGUUGUAGUUGAGUGAUUUUUGACUGUCUUACAGAAUAGGGAAAGAACCAUAACUCAGUGGUAGAGCAUCUGCCUUGCAUGCAGAAGGUCCCAAGUUCAAUUCCCAGCAUCUCCAGGUAGGGGUAGGAGAGAAUUCUGUCUGAAACCCUGGAGAGCCACUGGCAGUCGAUGUAGACAAUACUGAACUAGAUGGAUCAAUGUUCUGACUCUUUAUAAGGCAGCUUCCUAUGUUCCUAUGUAGUUCAGCAACAUUUGGAGGGCCAAAGGUUCUCCACCCUUGCCCUAAAUGGGUCUGUCCCUGAAUCUGUGGCUUUCUUUAGAAUAGGGGUACCCAGACUGGUCUGCAGCCCAGCUUCAUUCAGUCUGACAUGUCUUAAUGUGUCUAUAAAAAUGCAAUUAAAAACCACACAGCAUCUAACACAGCACAUUACAAUUUCUACAACAGGCAGAAAAACCAUUAAGUGGUCUACUAAGACCCUCAACAAUUUGCAAGUGGUCUGUGGGAGAAAAAAUGUUCCGGAACCACUGCUGUAAUAGCCUUUGGACUAUACUGACCCCAUUUUCUACAGGGUUUCUACAGGAUCCAGUAGAUCCUGAACCAGCUCAGUUCCACCUCCGCCCUACCCUUGGAAAGGCCCGUUUCAGGGAUGGGGGAGAAAUUCAAUUUUGUUUGUAAUUUAAUGAGAAACUACUGAAUUCACACUUCUCAAACCAGUAAUACAUGAACUUUUAAAGAUGUUUUGUUUUUAGACUUUUUUUAGUUUUGUCUCUUGUUUGCUGCCCUGGGCUCCUUCUGAGAGGAAGGGUGGGAUAAAAAAAUUAAUAAAUAAUAACAAUAAUAUGCAAAAGCUACCCUUCACUUCCCUGAAUUUUACAACACAGCUCUCCAAGCAAUAUGUACAAAAAUGGAUGUAUUAGGGGAACAACAUGUGCACUAAAAGUGCAUCUAUUUGUGAAAAUAACAUACAAAAAUGAAUUAUGUUAGGGGAAAUUGCAAAAAUGUGUUUCAAUGGGAGAAAUGUGCACUAAAAUGCUGAUUAAUUUUCAUGGGGAAAAAGAAUAAAAACGCAAAAUGGUGCAGCAAUGUGGAUAACUGAAUUUAAGAGAAAAAUGAAACACAGAGAGAAGCCGAAUUUGAAAGGCUCGUCCAUUUCUAGCCACCAGCAGGCAGCCCACUGGUGUCACUCCCACUACACAUUCAGCAGCCAGCAGGAGGCUGGCUCAGCCAGGAGUGCUGGGCAGAGGGACAACUCUGCCUAAUCCAACCCCACCCCAGUCCUGCAUGAAGGUGGGUGGGAUUGUUCUGCUUCUCUCAAGGAGCUCCCAUUGGAUGUGGAACACCUUACCCUCUAUUGCUCUGCCAGUAGAGGUUCAGCAGGCGCCCUCUGUUUUAACCUUUAAACCUCUGCUGAAAGGUUUUCUAUGCUGCC